rnacentral:lncRNA from 1 species
GGCCCCAGGUCCAGUGGAGGUGAGGCUGGAAGAAGAAACAGAACCUGGCUCUAGAGUCUGGGCAGUGGAAAGCACUGAAGCCUUUAGGUUUUGAAGGAUUAUUUUGCUUGCAAGGGGGUGGUUAGGGAGGCCCCUUUGGGUGAGUGGCCCAGAGCCUGAGUCUGAGCAGGGCUCUUUGGCAGGCGGGUUCCUGAGGGAGCACUCUCAGGCCAGCCUAUAAAAGCACCAGGGAAACAGGGCAGGCUACCAUGCUGUCUGGCUUCAGCCAGUUCCCAGGGGAGCUCUGGAGAGUGCACGGUGCUGCAGAUUUGCCCCUCUGUGCCCUCUGAUCAGGCAGAUGUGACUGUGAGCUGUCUCUGGAGGGAAGGCAACCCCCAUUCCCAGGCAUUUUCAGGUGAGUGACGCCUUUCUCCCAGGGCAAGUCUCCAGAGAAGGGAACAGCUGUGUUCUGUUAGGGGUGACAAUCACAGCAGGGGGGAUGGGUGCAGGAGCCCAGAGACAUUACCACGAUCUACGUUUGGAGGGAAACAGGUUUGCUUUGUUUUGGGGGCUCCUGAUGUCCUCUGCAUGGGGGAGAUUGCUUUCCAUUGCUGAGAAGGGAAGGCCUAAUCAGUCUCUCUAAUGGAAAACGCAUUAGGCUUUUUAGAGGUGUCUGCUAAGUCAGAGGCAGGAGCAACAGGACAUUUCCAUGGCUUGGCUGGGGGCAGGACCUCCAAGGUGUCUCCAUCAACCAUGAAGAAGAGGCCCGCAGUUCAGAAUUAAUCAGAGGCAAAGGGAGUAGGAUUUGAGUCACACUGGAGUCUGUGACAGGCAAGCCAGGGACAGGGCUAUGCCAACAGUCUAAAAAUAAAUAAUUCCCUCCUGUUUCCUUCAGAGGCACUCAAGGCAAUUUGCAAACAUUUGCAGGCAACUUUUCACGGGGCUGAACUGCAGGCAAAGCUCCCACUGACUUCACAGGGAGCUCCCAGGGGACACGCAGCAAGGUGAGGCCUUAGUUCUGGGUAAUUAAGACUUACGGCACCCUUGUUAGCGAAGAAAUCCCGGUGCACAUCAUUGAAAUGCAGCAGCUCUGCAGCCCGCAGCCCCUCGGCCGCCCGCGACCAUUAGCCCACUCCAACCAUCGUUAAUUUUGCCAUCCUUCACUUUUUGAAAUCAGAGAAUGACAUCACUUUGAUUAAGAGGGACAAUCGUGUUACAGACAAUCAGUGGAGUUAGCCUGCAUUUGGUCGGGCGCUCAGAGCCGCUCACUGGUGGUGGGGUUGGUGCUCCCCGGGAGGCAGGGACCAGAAGGAGGUCAGCUCUGAUUCCACCGCUGCCUUUUGAGCAUGCACCUCCUCCUUAUGCUUCUCUCCUUUUCUUUUUUCCUUCCUGUCCCUUUCUCUAAGACACAAAGGUGUUCAUAGGUGAUUACCCCUGGCCAGGAGGAAAUCUCUCUAGAACAUUCUAUCCUGGAUCAGGACAGAGGAAGAACGAGAGAAUGAAUUAACAGAUGGAUGUGAGCUACUCCAAGUGCAGGUGCUGUGCUGGAGGCUGGGAAGGGUGGACCUCAUUCCUGACUCUCAAAGGACUUAAAAACUGCAUCUCUAUGCAGGGAAAGACACUUAGAACAAGGGCAAGCAACCCUUUGGGAUUCAGGUGGAUUGGAUUUGAACCCUGGCUCUGCCACUCUGUCUGUGUGAUUUGGGCAAGUCAUCCAACCUGUCUGUGCCUCCGUUUUCUCAUCUGUAACAUGGGACUAGCAAUAGUAAUGACUUCAUAGUGUGUUUGGGAGGAAUAAACAAAUUAAUGAAAGGGCUUUAAAAUGUGGUCAUGGUUCAAUGCAUAUGAGCAAAGCAACAGACGUUCAUAGAACACUUGCUACACGAAGCUCUUCUCGGCUUUAUCUCGCCCAAUUUGCUGAUAACAAAGGAGAUGGGGAUGACCAUUAUCCCCGACUGUGGUCUAAAUGUCUCACAAAAACUAAUGUCGCGAUGACUUGCUAUUGUAGGAG